GUUGGAUUGCGACGAUAUCCAGUUAGCGGAUGGCUCGGUUCGAGAAGCCGAUGAUGGACAUGGCAAGCUGUGAUAAGCUUGGGCGAGGCGCAUGCAGCCUUUGAGCCCAAGAUUUCCUAAUGCGAGUUAACGCGCAUCUCUUUGGAGAUGCACUCCGAGAGGAGAGGUAACGCGGUGAAUUGAAACAUCUCAGUAGCCGCAGGAAAAGAAAUCAAUCCGAGAUUCCCUUAGUAGCGGCGAGCGGAAGGGGAACAGCGUAAACUGAACGCAGUUCCGAGAGGAUCUGUGGAUGUGGUUUGGACCGUCUUUCUGAACUGAAUGGUUUAGCCGAACUCUUUGCUGGAAAGCAGGACCAUAGAGAGUGAUAGUCUCGUAGGCUGUAACCAAGACGUUCUCCGACGUGUCCCUAGUAGUGUGGGUUGGAAAUCCUGCAUGAAGAUGGGAGGCACUUUUCUUCCAACGCUAAAUACUUCUCGAGUCCGAUAGCGUACUAAGUACCGUGAGGGAAAGCUGAAAAGUACCCCUAGAAAGGGGGUGAAAAGAGCCUUAAACUAACUGGUUAUAGGCUAGGCAGAGCGUGCAAGCGUCGAUAACCGUGAAAGAACUUUCCGAGAGGUUCAAGUAUGAAUCGGUUGGAGCAGCGUUCUGUCAUCCGUUUUGAAAAACGGGGCAGGGAGUGUACCUCCGUGGCGAGGCUAACCACUGUUACGGUGGGGAGUCACAGCGAAAGCAAGAAGACCGCAGCACGUCUUUGACGUGUGAGGGUCCUCGUGUAAACGUGCGAGAAGUCACCGCGGUACUAUCCGAAGCUGGUCGAUCCUGGCCUGGGCAGGUUGAAGCGGCGCGAAAGCUCCGUGGAGGACCGCAAGAGGUGCUGCGAUACAAGCGCUCUCGUGACCUGGGUCAAGGGGUGAAAUGUCAAUCGAGAUCAGCAAUGGCUGGUUCCUUUCGAAAUAGGCCGAAGUCUAGCCUUGAGCGAGGUGGUUGUACAGGUAAAGCGACUGAUUCCGAUCCCUGAAGGGUUACCUUCAGGCCGGAGUCAAACUCUGAACUGUGUAACGCUGUAGACCUCAGGAGUGAGGGAUGGCGGGUAAGCUGCCAUUCCGAGAGGGAAACAACCCAGAGCAAGGUUAAGGCCNNNNNNNNNNNNNNNNNNNNGUAACACGCUGGAAUCUCCUGCUCAGUGGUUGUCCAGUCGAGGCAUUAUUUUGUAGGCUAAAGUUCAUGUUUCCUAUGCUAAUAUUGAAUGUUUCGUCUCUCUGUGAGAUAAGAUUGGAUCCUUUUACAUAGAGCUCAUCUACAGGAACACUAUAGUUCUCUAUUACGACAUUAUUGGAGCAGAAAUUUGAGUUGCAUUGCGCCGGCUGUCUGCCCGUACCUGCUCCUACAGAGCCGAAAUCUAUGGUGCUAAAAUUAGCUCCAAACAGAAUAAAUGAGUUUAUACCCACCAGGCUUUCAUUUGAAGAUGAUUCAGGUAUCUUAGUGAAGUUAGACGAUGCGUUCACAUCAAUAUUAAAUCUUGACCCUUCUUGACCUGUAGCAUUGACGAGCCAAAUAAGUCUGCAUUGUUCUCCAGACUUUAGAUUGCUGCAAUUGUCCUCUGAGAAUUGCUCAAUUUGGAAAGGUGUACCUGAGGAGAAAGGUAUAAUCUCUCUUGAUCCAGAAUCGUUAUAUCUAGGAUUUGCAUCUAUAUCGCCACAGAAACCGUUCCUACAUGUUACAGUAGCAUUUAUAUCGUAUGUCCUGUUAGCCUGUAAAACCGUGUUAUUAGGGGGUUCACUGAGCUUUACAUCAAUUACACCUAAGUCAUUAAUUUUCAGUCUAUGGAAAUCCCUGCUACCAGCACCAGAUUCUGAAUCAUUUACAAAAAACUCCUGCCUGAGAUUGUAGUUCUCUUCAGACGUUUUCACGAUAUACUCUGCGUAGAGUGUUUGACCAACGUCUAGGCUACCCCCAUUAGAUGUAUCCCAGUUAAUCCUGUUCUGCGAGAGGUUGCCUCCAAAAAAUGAAUCAGUACUUAUAUUAUAGUACGUUUGCUCUCUACUCCAGUCGAUUGGAACACCAUCGUGAAACAUUUGAUCAGGCUGUGUAACCUGCCACUCAGAGAAACCAUCGUUCCUUAUCUCAAAACUGAAGCGGUACUCUCUUCCCUCUAACUGAUUUAUUUUUACUGUCUCAUUUAGACCAGAGUGAACUAAAUCUCCAGAGUCUCUUUCUUCAGUGGUUGAGAGUCCAGUGACGUCAAAAACUUCAUAUUCGGUUACAUUGGGUAUAGGAUCUCCAGGAUCAAAUCCAAACACGUUCUCGGCCGUUUCAAUGUCUGGUUGCAAAUUGACGCCANNNNNNNNNNNNNNNNNNNNAAUGUAAUGUUUUGGUGCGUCUGAUGUCUCUGACCAGCCAAAGAAAGCUCUGAUCUGGUGUUCCGUGUUCCCAAUCCGUGCUUUAUACAUGGCUCUUGACUUCCUGAAGAAAUCAUGUGGAUUGUCAUUAAACUCUCCAGACAUUCCAGCUCUCUCAACAGUCCUCUCCAAGAUACGUCUGACCGCAUGAUCUGUCAAUGGCUCAUCUCUUUGUUCAACGUCAUGUCUUGAACCAGUCCAGGAACACUCCGAGCUUUUGCAACUGUAAACCCUGUUGUCAAACGUGUUUCUGUCAUCGCUUGUGGUCUUGGUUCCACAGCUUGGACAAUAAUAUGUCUUAUCUCUCUUGGUGAAUACAGGGUCAGAGCUGUCACAGUCAGACUCCUCAAAUAACUGUUUCAACACUUGGGUUCCGGUUCUGACAGGAACCUCUCUUUCACCUGUUUUUCCGUCAAGUGUAAUCCAAGUGGUCUCGUCUUCAAAGGUUAUGUUUUCCCACGUCAAGAAGUUCUUGUCAUAUUGUGUUUCAAAGAUUUCUCCAACUCUGGCACCUGUUGACCAGUUGACCAAGAUGACAGCCUUAUCUCUUAAACUGUUUGCAUGUUUCACCACCUUUCUUACCUCUGAGGGUGUGGGUAAAGAGUCAGGAUUAACCUUUGUAGAAAGCUCAACGCUUAUUUCAAGGUCUUGAAUCAGCUCAGGUCCGUCAACACUUUUGUUAUAGCCCUUUCCUUUCCGUUUGAUAAAUGAGUUGUAGAAUUUGCUUAUACUCUUCCAGAACUUGUUUUUUGAAUAGUCACCAUAAGGCUCUCCGUUGUUCUUCCUUAUCUCAUCUUGGUUGAACUUUGAGACAAGAAGCUCAAGAUCUUCCUGACUUGGAUUGUCAAGCUGGAAGUCAAUGUGCUGUAUUAUCUUAUGGAAUCUUGAACUAUAAUCUGAGAGUGUUGGUUUACUUCCUCCUCCAGCUCUGGCUUUUCUGAAGAAGUCCUCAAGAACCUGUUUGUUGUGAUCAGAUAGUUCAGGGUUUUGGAAAAGUUUGGAAUUGGUCUGUCUGAGUGCUUGGAAAGUCAUUUUUGUCUUUUGACUCAUGUUUAAGUUUGGUCAAGAAGCCCCUCUUAAGUGGAUUGGUCCAAAUGAACACGGACAUGUAUGGACCCUCAGGGAUUUGAACCCUGGGCCUUCCCCUUGCAAGGGGGACGUUCUGCCAGGCUGAACUAAGGGCCCUACUUAAUGUAGAAUAAUUGUAGCGAAUUUUUUUAUUGGUAGAUAAUUUUUCUACUUCGAUUAGUUUACAGACUGCUUUCCCAAAAAGCAUUUAAUAUGUAAAGGUAACAACAUAAAUUAGGGUGGUGAUAUAUGGCUGAUAUCGAAGAGAUUUUAGAUAAUAAUUACCUAGAAGAGGAAGAUGAUUAUGCUGAAAUUAAUAUAGAUAAUAUAGGUGAUUUUGAUGAAUAUGAUGAUCAAGAUAUCCUACUCGAAGGUGAUGAGGAUGAUGGUAUUGUCAAUGGANNNNNNNNNNNNNNNNNNNNACAGAAGCGUGCAACCACAAUUACAGUGUGAAGUAAAUGCGGCGCGUCUGCAAAAGUGUAGACGGUACCCAGAAGACUAUCCAAAGUCUUCGACAAGCACAAACAGAAUCAGGCUUAGUGCCGUCACCCAGCAGGGAUUUUCUCCCUCAAAGCUGUGAUUACUGUAUCUUUUUUGAAGUUAAGCGAUACUCAAUAAAAUAUGGCUAACAACCAGCAACAAGGAGGAGCACUUCCUUCUUCACAGGGAGGUCUUGUACAGUACUUUGACGCCGACUCAGGUUAUGAGAUGGAUCCCAAGACAAUAGUAAUGAUUACAGGGAUGGUAGCUGUAUUUGAGAUCGUUCUGCAGUCAGGAGUACUUCCAAUCUAAAAAUCAUGGGCCCGUAGCUCAGCCUGGACAGAGCGAUCGGCUUCUAAACCUCAAGAUUCUCCAAAAUAGGAGGAAAGAGGAUGAAGAAGAUACUUAGUCUUCAACUGAAGAUACCGAUCGGUCGAGGGUUCAAAUCCCUCCGGGUCCGAACACAUAUCACAUAAAAUGAAGAUUCUCAUAUGACAAAGGUAAACUCACCUCAAGACGCAGAAGCAAUAAUACAGAAACUACCCUGCGACAUGGGAAUACACAGAACAUCCAGAAAAUGUACUUUAAAAGGCCCUGAAGCAGUCACAGAGGAUUUUUCGCCCAGCAAACCGGUUCUAGUCGAUGAAGUAUAUCCUGAUGAGUUCUCUCUAGAGGAAACUCAAAGAAGGAUUCUGGAAAACACCAGAGAUCUAAUCAAAUACCAGAAGCCAGUCAUUUCGAUUGGUGGCGACCACUCGGUCUCCUUCCCAGUAAUUAAAGCCCUGAAAGAUAACAGACCUGACCUAGAGCUGGUAUGGCUGGACGCACACCUAGAUCUGAAAAAGAAACUUGACAACCAUGUCUCCCAUGACGUUGUUGUUAGGGAAUUAAUCGAGCAAAAUUUGUUUACUCCAGACGAAAUCACAUUUGUAGGUACGACAAGAAUUGACCAAGACGAGGAUGAGUUUCUUCAUCACCAUGACAUAAACGUAUAUAGGCCAGAUGAUGUCGAAGACUUUAGAAGAGAGUUUGGCAAAGACGAACAGCCUAGGUAUCUGUCCAUAGAUAUAGAUGUUUUAGAGCAGGACGCUGCGCCUGGAACAGGAUAUCCUGACGGAGAACUCAGUUUAGAGCAAGUAAAGGCUCUGAUACAGCAAAUAUCACCUGAACACUGCGAUAUUGUGGAAGUGGCUCCAGAGCUGGAUGGCAGCGGAAGGACUACAAGUAAUGCAGAGGUUCUAUUAACUCAACUUUUGGAGGCUUCGACCUGAGCUAUGUGGAUGAUGAAUAUAAUGAUUUAACAUAAAAAUGCAGACCAAGAAAUCCAAAGUAUGAACGAUAUAAAGCGGGAAAUAAUAGACUCACUAGAGCAUAAACUUGAGAUUGGGGUAGAUGAAAACGACAUUGAAGUCCCAAGCGCUGAAUACGGGGAUUUUGCCUAUCCUGUGAUGAAGGCUGCCGGAAAAAAAGAAGAGAAUCCUAGAAAACUUGCAGAGGAAGUCAAGCAGAAAAUAGACAUAGACCGAGUGAGGAAGAUUGAAGUCGCCGGACCUGGCUACCUGAACUUCUUCCUAAAUCGUGAAAGCCACGCUUCAAAAGUACUUAAUUCUAAUAUCAAGGACGGUAUAGAACGAAAAGAUGAGAAGGUAAUCGUCGAACAUACCUCACCUAACCCGAACAAGCCUCUUCACAUGGGAACCAUGCGUGCAGCAGUCCUUGGGGACACGAUUGCCCGGCUAGGAGAUUACUCAGGAUACGAGAUAGAGGUUCAGAACUUUAUGAAUGAUCUUGGCCGACAAAUCGCUAAGAUAACGUAUGGAUACGAAAACCUCAUAGAAAGAAUCUCAGACGAUGAUAGAGACAAAAAGGACGACUUCUGGAUCGGCCUGCUUUAUUCGGAGACAGGAAACUUCAUAGAUCAAAACCCAGGCGAAGAGGAAGAGGUUGAUAGGAUAAUCCAGAAGAUGGAAGAGGCGGGAAACAAGUACGCAGAUCUCAAGGACAGUUUAGUUGAGAAAUCCUUGAAAGGUCAACUACAGACAGCAUACCGUACAAACAUAUUCUACGACUUCCUUAUAUUUGAGAGAAACAUCGUAGAGUACGUCUUCUAGAGAAGCUAUGGACAAAUAAAGAGCUUGACUCAGUCUANNNNNNNNNNNNNNNNNNNNGGAUUGUCUGCGGCGCGAGUUCACAUCGACCCGCAGGCUUGUUACUUCGAUGUCGGCUCUCCGUAUCCUGGCUGUGCAACAGCAGCCAAGGGUGAGGGUGUUCACCUAUUAAAACGGAUCGUGAGCUGGGUUUAGAUCGGCGUGAGCCAGAUCUGUUGCUAUCUGCCGGGAGCGUUUACAUGGUCUGAGAGGAAAGUUCGGACAGUACGAAAGGAACCCCGAACUGAGGCCUCUGGUGUAUCUGUCAUCCGGAAGGGUGGGCAGAGUAGCUACGCCUCACAGGUGUAAGAGCUGAAAGCAUCUAAGCUCGAAAGCCUCCUCAAAAAGAGACCGUUUCCGCUCUUGUACAAGACAAGUUGAUAGAGUGGCGGUGUAAGAGUCAAGGCAACGAGACUUUCAGCCGACCACUACUAAUCGCGGGUUCAAUCUAAU
rnacentral:ncRNA from 1 species